GCAUCUACCUGGGAUCUAUUUUGAAUGUAAAUAUAUGCAUUGUCAUUUAAUUUUUAAAAGCUAUUACAUAUUUAAAAAACAUAUAAAUGAGACUCAUAAUAAAACAAAAAAAACAUUUGUACAAAAUUAUGUGAUCUGUUCAGCAAGACAUUACCGAUGAAUCUUCUCUUGAGCUUGGUAGUAUUAUGUGGUGGUAUUUUGUACUAACAAUGCUAUAAAAAUAUACCUAGAAUAAGAACCUGUUGUGGAAAAAUGUGACUCAUUUGGAGGAGCAUUGCAUUGCUUAAUUGCUCUUUAUUUUGUCUUCAAUUUGGAAUAUCCCAAAGAAGCAUCCUGCAUUUUGGAGUUCCUUCAAAGAUAUAUUUUAAAAAUACACCCCAAAGGAACCAAAUCGAAAAAACAAAAUCUCUCGAAAAGAAAAGUUAUUUCAUAUUUAACGAAGUUAGCCAAGGUAGAAUAAUAAAUUAUUAUUUUAUUUAUGUAAAUCUUAAAUAACUUUGGUUUAAAACUGAUUUCUUAUAAUAAUUAAUAACUUAAUGUAUUAAUAUAACGAGAAAGUAAAGUUUGGAACAAAUUCGUUUUAAAAUUGAAAGGUUUAAAAAAACAACGCUCGGACCCAUUUAUUUUUAUUUUUAGUAGCGCUUUUUGCCAAUGUAAACUUUCUAUACAGGGUUUGUCGUAUAACUGUGUCCUAUACCAACUUAUUUUAAUUUUCUUAUUUUAAUUGAAACACAAUUAAAAGAAAAUUUAAAUAAAAGACCAAUUAUGUCAUUACAUCAUCAUCAUAGACGAUCAUUUAACUAUUUUUAAGUUACAAGAGGAGAUUUCGCCAGAAUUUAGUUUGGUAUAUCGGUUGGUUCGUCAAUACUAUGAAAGUAAGCACCUAACAUAAUCACAUUUGGUCUGUAAAAAAAUACACCGUGGUCCAUAACACGAUAUAUGAUUUGGUGAACCAAAAUGUGUAAUUUUUUACGAAAAUUUGAAGCUGACCAAUAAAAAUGGUAGUAAUUUACUUUCAUAAUAUUGUCAGAGCAAACGAUGUAAGUAGGUACCGAAUCAAAUUCUAUAGCGAAAUCGACUAAUGUGUUAUUACUCCUUAGGCAUUUUCCUUACUAUUUAAAAUUUAAAUUUUAAUAUCUAUUUUCGACUUAUAAUGUGAAAUAAAAUAUGGCAGCUGUCAAAAUUUUUAAGAAAUAUUUUUUACAAAUAUGAGAAAAUAAAUAUUCAAAAGUCAAAAUAGGAAAAUUCCCUUUUGCUCUAUUAUUAAUAACAUUACCGCUAUACAGCAUACAAAAAAAAUUAAAUGCCUGCCUGAUCUUUAAAACUUGUAACUUAAAAAUAGAAUAAAAGUAUAGCGCCUGUGAUACAGCAAAAUUCUUGGAAUAUAUCCCAAAAUGUAAUCACAUACCGGGUGUUCCAAUUAAAAUAAGAAAGUUGGUAUUGGCCACGGUAACAUGACACACUGUGUAUAAGAAGUUUUAAUUGAAAAAAAGCCUUGCAAAAAAUAAAAAUCGACGUGUCCGCACGUUUCUUUGUUUGAGUCGAUAAAUGUUAAAUGAAUUUGUUCCAACCUUAAAGGGUUUUUUGUGAGAUUUAGCUUGUAAGUAAGGUACCUACUUACCUACUUAUAUCAACAUAUUUGAUAUUAUAUAGGGCCCCAAAAUGUAUAUAGACUAUGUCAAAGUUCUUGGCUACUUCAAGAGUUUAUGUUUUUGUUUGUAUAUUGAAGAGUUUAAGUUUCAAAUAUACUUGUUAUUUUCC
rnacentral:lncRNA from 1 species